AAGGUAUAUAAGUGAUGCACACACAGUAAGAUCUUCAGAAAGUGGACAGGACUGACCUUGAGACAGGAGAAGAAAAAUAUCUCUCUCCUUUUAAACGACAAAGAGGAUCAGCUACCACGUCUGAAACCAAGCUCCAUCAGUCCCAGAAACCUGCAAAAGAUUAUGGGACGACAGUUAAACUGAUCUGUGGAGGUCUCAUAGGUGCUCCUGAACCCGACCUGGCCUGUCACAGGCCAUCAAGUUCCAGCUCCUCAGGAUCACAUCGUUGAUGUCAAGAUAAGAAACUCCAGCAGGCCGUUUCCCCUGCAUCAUCUCCCCCUCUCUUCCCUGUCAUUCUCUCACCCCCUUUAUCUGUCCUCGCCUCACCCCUCCACCCCUCGACCCCUCCC